rnacentral:rRNA from 1 species
AUUGAACGCUGGCGGCAGGCCUAACACAUGCAAGUCGAACGAGUGGCGGACGGGUGAGUAAUGUCUGGGAAACUGCCUGAUGGAGGGGGAUAACUACUGGAAACGGUAGCUAAUACCGCAUACCAUCGGAUGUGCACAGAUGGGAUUAGCUUGUAGGUGGGGUAAAGGCUCACCUAGGCGACGAUCCCUAGCUGGUCUCAGAGGAUGACGAGCCACCCUGGAACUGGGACACGGCCCAGACUCCUACGGGAGGAAGCAGUGGGAAAUAUCGCACAAGGGGCGAAAGCCUGAUGCAGCAAUGCCGCGUGUAUGAAGAAGGCCUUCGGGUUGUAAAGUACGUUCAGCGGGGAGGCGUUACCCGCCGAAGAAGCACCGGCUAACUCCGUGCCAGCAGCCGCGGUAAUUC